rnacentral:rRNA from 1 species
UGAGGAAAAGAAACCAACAGGGAUUGCCUUAGUAGCGGCGAGUGAAGCGGCAAAAGCUCAAAUUUGAAAUCUGGCACUUUCAGUGUCCGAGUUGUAAUUUGAAGAAGGUAUCUUUGGGUCUGGCUCUUGUCUAUGUUUCUUGGAACAGAACGUCACAGAGGGUGAGAAUCCCGUGCGAUGAGAUGUCCCAGACCUAUGUAAAGUUCCUUCGAAGAGUCGAGUUGUUUGGGAAUGCAGCUCUAAGUGGGUGGUAAAUUCCAUCUAAAGCUAAAUAUUGGCGAGAGACCGAUAGCGAACAAGUACAGUGAUGGAAAGAUGAAAAGAACUUUGAAAAGAGAGUGAAAAAGUACGUGAAAUUGUUGAAAGGGAAGGGCUUGAGAUCAGACUUGGUAUUUUGUAUGUUACUCUCUCGGGGGUGGCCUCUACAGUUUACCGGGCCAGCAUCAGUUUGAGCGGUAGGAUAAGUGCAAAGAAAUGUGGCACUGCUUCGGUAGUGUGUUAUAGUCUUUGUCGAUACUGCCAGCUUAGACUGAGGACUGCGGCUUCGGCCUAGGAUGUUGGCAUAAUGAUCUUAAGUCGCCCGUC